AACUUUGCGCAGUGACAGUAUUGUAGCCAAUGAGGUUUAUCUGAGGCAUGAUUACUGCUAAUCAAAACAGAUGUACCAAUGGAUAUUCUUACCCGCACUGUACAAUGUGGUUUCUGCACAUCUUUACUAACAUUUGGUACUG